AUCUUGAGCAUUAAUAUAGCAGCAAACAACCAUUUGCGAUGUAAAGAUAUAAUGGAGUAAUGUCUACCUGAGCAGAGAAUGAAGUCACUCUCAUAUGACCAAUGUCUGUGUUGGAAUAACUCUGUG